rnacentral:misc_RNA from 1 species
AAAGUUACAGUAAUGGUGAUUAAGGUCGAUCUUGGCUGCGAGAAGUGCUUCAAGAAAAUCAAGAAAGUGCUCUGUAAAAUUCCUCAAAUUCAAAAUCAGGUAUAUGAUGAGAAGGCAAACACAGUGACAAUCACUGUGGUGUGCUGCAGCCCAGAAAAGAUCAAGAAAAAGAUAUGUUGCAAAGGUGGUGACUCAGUCAAGGGUAUUGAAAUCAAAGUUCCAGAGAAACCUAAACCACCAGAGAA